UUUUUUUUUUUUUUUUUUUUUAAUAUGUAAGAACAUUAGUGUCAGCCACCCCAAUAACAAAUUCAUGGUUACAUCACAGCUCCCACAGUAGAGGGAAAGACUGUGGCAUAUAAAGAUUAUGCAGAUUACAAAUAUUUUGCAGUACCUCAGUGAUGCUUUGCCAAGCUUUUGCAAUUUCUAGAUACAAUCCAAAUCAAAUAUCCUGUUUUGUAAAACUUUGAAUUUCAAAGUCUUCUUUUGUUACUGUUUCUAUUUUCCUUGCAUCGCUGUACCAAAGCGAUGGAGUUUCUGGCAGUUCUGUACAACCUCUGCGUUCCUUUUAAAUUAGUCCACUUCAUACCUUUUUAUUUGAUGACACCUGUCCUCCCAGCCCACUGUCAUGAGCUACCGAAUGACUUUGAAAAAUCUACUGUCAUACCUAGAUCACUUCACACAAAAAAUCAAUUCACCGUUAAAAUAGUCAAACUCAAACCCAUAGUAGUCCUGUCUGGAGAAAGGAAAUGAUGAUCUGCCCUUCCAGAGUGAUAUGUCCUUGGCUGCUUCCAUGAGUGCUUCCAUUGGAUUAAAAUUGUCCUGCUUCUUCCUGCUCUGGUUGAGUCAGAGAAGACCAGCUGUAGUUGUGGCUGCACUCAUAAAUGUGCAGACCAUGGCGGUGGACCAUGGGGAGGGGAACAGCAGCUUGUGCCUAAAGGGUAAAGCAUUCCUUACUGUAGCAGCUGGAUGCAUCCUGCUGUGGGCUGAGGGAGCACUUCUGUGGUGGAGCUGUAUCAUCCUGGAGAAGUCCCUGAGCUCCUGUGCCAUGUGCAGCAGGGUGCUGAGGAGCUGGCAGGUAGGCCCCAGUACCUUGUGCAGGGGAGCCUCAGGAGCUGUACAAUUACAGGUGUGAGCUGCCUUCCCAGGGUCUGCAGCACCUUGUGCAGUUGAGGCAAUGGUAGAAAAACAACUGUGGGAUUUUUUUCUUUGAGAUCAGUGUUCCAGUAAAUCAUUAAAUUCCAAAGAAUAAACAAGUUCCCCCAGGAAGAAGCAAUUCAUUUGUGUUACUCUCUGACCUAUUAAAAUGCAAAAAUUGCUGUGGAAUUUACUCUGUGGUGAUAUGUUCCAGCGGUGGAGCAGUUUUCAUUACAGCUAGUGUUUUUCUAAUUAUAACUAUAAAUAAAAAUUAACCUCCAUCUCGAUUCAAAAUGGGUCCCACAGAUUGUCAGGUGCAUAGGUGAUGCAGUGCAGAGAGACAAAUGCAGCGGCACCUGCACCAUCAUCAUAUUGACUUACAACUUGGGGGUUAAUUAUUGAAUUCUUUGACUAAAAAUGGCUGCCCCAAUACAUGGUAAUUUCCAGAACGCUUAAAAGAAGCUUGACAGCUUCUCAUUAGAUUACAAUAGACAAACUGCCUGAAUCUACAGUGCAAUUUUAUUAAGGAUGCCCAAGUAUAAAAACAAGAGCUUUUCAUUUUGGUAUUGUAUGCUUUACAUUGCAUUGAUUUGCUUCUAUUGAUUUUUAAUAAAAAAGUGUUUUUCCAAAUGGUGUAAAUUAAUUGUUAUUGCACCACAGAAAACAGAACACUGCACCACAGUAAUUAACAUUUCCUGGCACAGAAUCCAGAGAGCUUGCUGCUGAAAUGGGCUUUAAAGCAUAUUUUGACUGUACUGCAAGCAUUGGUGUGUCUAUGAAGCUGUGAUGUGGCAGGCACAGCAACUGCUUUCACAGCUUGGAUAUGAGCAGAUACCCUCCAGGGCUCACAAGGCACUGUGUCCAUGAGAUAGAGGACAAACAGGCUAUUUGCUCUCCUUUCACUAUUUUUCCACAGCUGUUUGAGGACUUUGGAGACUGCUUUUGCCAAGCUGUGGAAAUAUGUCCUCUCUUUCUUUCUGUUACCUUCAAUUCUUGGUAUCCACCCAUUAUCUUUUGUCAUAUACAAGAGUUGCAUGCUUUAGGGAUAUGGCUCUUCACUGCUUUUCAUGUAUGAAGGUCCUCAUGCCUGGCUGAAGCUGCUUGGCUCUGUCAUGGAAUGGGGAGCUUGGACAUACCAAACAAGGUGAGGUAAAAAAGCCUGUACAGCAGGUAUCUCCAGUGUCAGCAGGAUCAUGGAAACUGGACACAAGCAUCUCUUCUUCCCCAUCAGGCACCUUUAGAGGAUUUAAGCAAUGUUAAGCAAACUUGGAUAGUACAUAGUGAAUACAUCCACCUCUUUAAAUACUAUAGUUUAAGUACAAAGGAAAAAAGGCACCUUCUUUAUAUAUAGCCAGUGGGGAAACUAAGGCACAGGAAACAGAAAAGAUUGAGAGGCGAAUCCUGUCAUGUUAGCAGCUGCACCUCAAACACAAUGCAAUCCCUUCUUUUGGGGACAUUUAAGUUAUUUUGUAGUUGUAAGCUACGUGUUACACAAAAGGAAUUUUUCCUUCAAAUGUUUUAUCAGAUGACAGUGAUAAUUCAAUUAACAAAAAAAGAAAACUCUACAUACCUUACUCCUCAGAUGAUCUUCUUUUGUACUAAGUUAAAACAUACCUUAAAACAAACAAACAAACAAAUAAAAGCAGUUUACCUUGGAAAAUACCUGUGGAAAAAAAGGUAAAAAAUCACCAGUAGAGAAUUACUGCACAGCUGGAAGUGGAAGGGUGCAUCUUCAUUCCCAGGAAACUCCUCAUGAACAGAAUCUCUGUAUGAGAGAGGAACCCAAAACAAGGAUGGCUGCUGCAGCCAUCCAAUCCUUCACACUCACAGCUAGAGGAACAGCUAAUGCUCUCAUCUAGUAACCAAGAUCCUUUAGCAAGUCAGGUAUCUGAUUUCUAUCUCUUGUCCUAACCACCUAUGCCAGAGACGCUUAAACUAUGAUUAACGCCGUAUUAUACACCCUUCUUAUAGACAUUUUUUUUUUUUGGUAUGUCAGGGGAAAUCACAGGAGUGCACACGUUCCCAAGAAGUUCAGAUAUCCUCCUUGUUGUUCACUUAGUGGCGAUCCCAAAACUUUGAUUCUCAAACCUUGAAAUUCAGUGGAGAUUUACAAAUAAAUAGAAAAGAGAAUUAAUAAAAUAGUCUUUAUAUUAAUGAGAUUAGUUAAAUUAAAAAAAUUAUUCUUUAUGAAUAUUGUUUUCUGCUCUUAGUCAUUUUUCCAAAAACCUUGCCACUGGGUGCAAACUUUGAGCCUGAAAAGUAUGCAGUAUCUGAUCAGCUGAUACAAAUCAGCGGAGCUGUGCUGUGUUCUAUCCACUGAGAAUGUGACAUUCCAUUUUUGUCUGUUCUCACACAACUAGGUUUGAUACCAGGAGCAGGAGGAAAUUCUGUGAAACUCAUACUGAAACCAGUGGAAGUAUGAGAUGGGAAGGACUUCCUCCUAGCAGGUUUGGAAGGGGUCAUCUGUCACAAAAGCCACAAUAACUCUUAACAAGCAAGUGGACAAGAUGAGACCAAUAUGAAAAGAGAAAAGUUUGGAAGAGAGCACCAUGAGACUUCUACUUUCUUUAGGAAAUUGUAUCCCAAUGGUCUGAUAUGAAAUGUAUCUAUACCAUUAAGUGGAUUAAGAUGUUAUAGUGCUAGUCAUGCAGAUAAGGUUUUGUUACCAUGAUGGAGAUCUGUAGGAGAAAGAAUGUCUGCCUGUUGAGGAGAUAAGGCAAUAAAACCACUCUGCUUUUGUACGUCUGUGAUCCAGUGGGGAGGAGCUUUUUCCACUAUUGAGAAGUUCAGGUUCAACAAAAUCUUCUUGCAGUCCUACUUGGUGACCUCAUGAUGGAUUCAGGCAAAGCCUUUUGUUUGAGAUAGGAUAUGAAUUGAAACAAGAUGGUAAAGAAAAACAUUGAAUCAGAAUUCAAUAGAAGUGCAAAUUUGAAAGUCUCCCCCUAGCAGACGUAUUUUAAUGAAUGCAUAGUUACAGGGUGACUGUGUUAUCUCACUUUUCUUGUGCCAUUAACUGAGAAGAGAGUUUAAAAAAAAGUGUCCCCACAGAAAUCUUAUUCAUAUGUUUUAUUAUAUGCUCCAGCACGGGCACCACUUUAGUUUAAUGGUGUGUUGGAUGAUGGUACAAAUUUAUAGCCAAAGGUUUACAUCACAGACAGCUGGAAUGAAUAACAAUAAAUUAAUUUAAAGUGCUACAAAAGUGCUCCCCAUAGUAUGCAGUGCUUAUGUGCUCAAGGCUAAUAAUUUAUAAAUGCACAUCUUUUAUAAUCCUGAUCUAAAGUCCUGAAAGCAGCUAGUUAAAAAGCAGUCACAUGACAUAAAUUAUUUUUAUUAAUAUUUCAAAUGCACGAUUAGGGUGGGCACUGUGGUCAUUAGCAUUAGAUAGCUUUCAUUUAUGACCAAGUGCAAUGAAGCAACAGCCAGAGACAGCAAAACUAGCUAAGCAAUGGCACAACAAGUGUGAGAUGGAUGCUUCUUCUUUCCCAUGAUUUUCAUAUGUUAGUAAUCAUCAUGGCUGCAGCUAUGCGCUAUUUUCUUGACUAGCAGUCCUUUUCCUUUCAUUACUCUGCUAUGUUUAGCACAUCAGCUACUCACCAGGCCCAAAUGGUGAAGCCACGUGCAGCUGGGUGCAGUCAGAGGCCAUAGUGCUUCUCCUUGUGGCUUCUUUCCAUUCACAGACACUGAACACAGUGAGAGCACUGCUCUAAGAAUGCCUCUGAGACUUCCCUCGUUGCAGCAGUAGUGCUAAUGUGAACACUAAACUAGUAUCAAACGUUCAUGCAAACUCUUGCUUGGAUAAGAUAAGUUAUUUUGAAGUGUUUAUCUUGCUAAGAGGGGACACAACCAUUUUUGGAUCUAUGAAAGUAUUAGAGAGAAUUUAUGUCUCCAGAGAAACAAAUAUUUGCAGAAGAGCAUUGUGGAGAAUAAAGAUGAGGCCACACCAUGAGAUUCAUAGAAUCAUACAACCAUUAUGGUUGGAAAGAUGUCUAAGAUCAUGUAGUUCAGUCAUCAACCCAUGCCUGUGACCACCCUAGACUAUGUUACUCAGUGCAGUAUCCACCCUUAUCUUGAAAACCUCUGGAGAUGGUGACUCCCUGGGCAGCCUGUUCAAUCUUUUGGGUGGAGGAUAUGUUAUUUUCCCAGCAUUACCCAACAUUAAACUGCAGUCUUCUCUAGUUUAAGAAUGUAUUUACUCUCACUGGUAGAAGUAAAAAAGUAGCAGCUCAAAUAACUUCCAUAGCACUGCAUCUUUUUCUUCAGUGCACUUCUCAGGCAUAUCUCACUACUGGGAUAUCCCUGUCUUAAUGCUAUCGUUAUUUUCUCCAAGAAAAUUUGGCCUCCUCUCACUUUUCUUGGAGAAAAACAUUUACUUCUUGAAUGCAGUGUCAUAAAGCUGAGGUUACAGAAGGAGUCUUUCACAUUGGAAGAAGGAUCGUGAAUAAUUUCUGUGUCUCUCAUUCUGGGUGACUGCCAUAUAUCGGACUACAUAUUUGAAUCUUGGCAGAUGAUUGGAAAAUAUACACUACAAGCAACCCCAUUCACUUCAGCAGUUCUAGCAAAGUAAGCAAAGUGAUACAGAAAAUGGGCUGGAGUAUUAUAGCCUUGGCCCUUCACUCCUACUUUAAAGGAAAAAAAACCUUUUUGCACUGCUCACAAUGUAAGCUUCUAAGCAGCAAUUUGCUAUUAUUUUUUAAUAUUGUAGGCCUCUACAAGCUCAUGGCCUCUCUCCUCUUCCUUUCUAGCUUUCUUUGAAAGUACUUUGUAAUUGAACACAUUUUCCAGAGGUCAAUGGGGCAUAUUUGCAUUUUGAUACAUUCUAAUUUUUUUUGCCUCCAGCACGCCACUCCAAAGCACUGUGCUAAUCAGAAGCAAAUAAUGAUCUCCUAGGUGCUGUAAGUGGGUGACUAGGCACAAAAAGGCAUAACAACAUGCAAAAAUUAGUGAGGAAAAAAUACACGGUAAAAUAAAUAAAUAAGAAACAGAGUGAUUAUGCUGGCAAAAGCGUUUAGAUUUGUAAGCUGAAGUCCUGCAUGGAACAAGCAGCUAAUUUGUUUCUGUGCGCCACUGAAGGGAUAAGGGCGUUAAGGGCACUCCUGUGCUGAUGGAGGGCUGGAUUCUCUGUGCUCAUUGCUCAUACACACGUCAGUGUACCCAGAUGAUGCAUAAGCAUUUCUGAGGGCUUUUUAUACCACCAGGAAACACCUUGUGUUCUGAAAAAUCCAAAUACAAGAUUAGGCAGGAUCUAGAAAAAUGGGGCAGUCCCCAAAGCAUGGGUUUAUCUGCAUGGAGGUCUUUUAUUUUUAGCACUGGUGACAGGUUUUCACUCAAGCAUCCCUGUCCCAGUGGGGAUGGGGUGUAUGUGAGAAGGAGAAGAUUGGAGCUGAGAAGAUUAUUUCAUUCUCAAAAUGUUUUUCUUAUUUUAGUUUGAAUAUCUUUAGCAGACAGAGGUGCAGAGAAACACGAGCCCUUCCCCACUAACUGCAGCAUCAGGAGAAAAGCUCCUGAUAAGCAGAUGCUGCUCAGGCAGCACUCAGCCAGGCAGUGUGUGCUUAUGCACGAGAGAUGGAGGUACCGGCAGGCAGCGAGCAGAGGCACUGCGGUGAGUGUGUGUGUGGCUGUGAGAGAGGGGCAAUGCAGGUUUGUCUGCAGAAGGAAACAAUGCCUGAGCAAAGCUGAGCUGCUCCAGUGAGCAUUUUGUGUGUGUGUUUGGAAGAAGGCAAAGAGAAGCAGCCAAGGGAGAGAGACUGAAUGGAAAAGAAGGACUGCCGAAGUGGAAUAUGGUGUGGAAAUGUGAACGUAGACAUGGACACUGAAAAUGCCCCAAACAGUUCUUUCUGUCGCAAGAGCAACAAAACUCUUCCAUCUAUGCUUUCACUGCUUCUCUAUAGGCACUUUCUGGAGUUCAGCAGUACAAAACAGCCCUGAAGUGUUUGUAAAAUACAGUUUACAUAUGGAUUGUAGCAAAGGAGAAGUAUAAGAGGGCUGUCAAAAAGCUGCAGAGUUACACCCCUGGAGGAGGGAGGAGUGUGGCUCUCCAUUGUUACCAGUCUACUUCAACUUCCCAGAUGAAAGAAACCCCUAGACAGGAAGAAGUCUAGCAUGCUCAGCAGAUUGAGUUCUCCUCUACUACUCUGGUUGAAGUGGAUAUAUUCCAUCUACUCGUAUUUAUUUCCUAUUGCAAAACCAGCACACUCCAUAUGGCAAUCUGAUGGACACAUUGGCCCAGCGCCUGCAUUUCAAAAAGGAUGCUGAAAACCAUUGAAAACCAUUCAGAAGGAAGAUAAUAGAAUGAUCUGAAGUAUAUGUUUGAGGUACUACAGAGAGGUAGAAUUUAGAAACUAAGAUUUGGCUAAUUCAGACUAACAAAAAGUAGAGCUUUUAAUCUUACAAGAUAAUUAACAUUUGUAUUGAUUUACUUGGGAAUGUGGUACAUGUUCAGGUAUCCAAAGCCAACAAAUCAGCAUUUGGUGUCUCACUAUGAGAUCUCUAACAGAUUAAAUAGAAUUUAAUACACUAAUUAGUGACUUUCAAUAAAAGGAACUCAAAAUGUAGCGCCGUGAAGCCCUUCUGGGUAUGAAUGUAUGAAUUUAUAUCAUUCUUUAAACUGUCUGAAAGCCAUGUUCAUACAGUGUCUAUUCCAAUAUUCAUACAAGAAGCCACAAUCUCAUUCUAUAUGGCCAGACAGGUGCCUAGCAGAGCUGGCGCCCAGCCUCCAGGCACAACUGCAAUAGAAAACAAGUAACAGAUGCUGAUGAUCAUUUCUGGGAUUUGUUUUCACCAGAAACUCAAGAAGUCCUAGAGGAGUUCCACUAAUUAAUAUUACUUAAAGUACAACAUUCAGCAUAGAGAGAAAAAUUCAUCUAAUACAGUAUUAUCAGCCACUUUUAUUUUAAAAAGGUCUUCUGCAGCAUCCCCAGCACAUUCUCACACUUCCCCCUGAGACUCCCAGGAAAUCAGAAGCCCAGAGAAUUCAUUGCAUCUCACAAUAUACAAUUUCAAAAUUCAACAAUUCAUUGCUUAAGGAACCAAAGUCCUAUAGCCAUGUUGUGGUAAUGCGUUCCACAAGUGUUCCAGGUCCAUAUGAGCACAAUGUAAGAUUGCCUAAGUUAUCUUUUUACGAUGGGUGAGAAGAGAGUAAGCUUUUGUACAACUAUUUCAGGGGUAAACAUGUGAGUAAAGCCAGACAAUGUGGUGGCUUUUGAAGACACCUGUGAGAACUGAGCAUCUCAAUUUUAUAUCACUUCUGCAGACUUACUACUUGGAAAAUCCCAGUUGUGUAUGCUGAAAAACUCAUAUUCUUCUGACUACUCACAGCAAUAAGAACACUUUGCAUUCUGUACAAUUCAUUCAUGAUCUUAUUUGCAUGGGAAGGUGUGAGGAAGUCUAACAGAGAAACUGUAUACUGUUGGAUGCAUGCAGCCCUCAAAAUACCACUGUUAUGUAUUCAAAUACUGAAAAUAUUUGACAUCUUUUCUGUCAUUUGACUGAGAGAUUUAGCUCACUUAAAACAUUUGAGCAGAUAUUUUGUUUAUGUCAAGGAAGAUUAUGCCUUAAGAAGUAAAAAGUAUGAAGAACCAAUAAUCUGAAGGCUAUUUGUGAAACCUAGUCACAUUUAUGUUUAUGUUUUUUUCUCUGUCAAUUGAUAUGGGGAUGUUAUGCAGCAUUUCAAGACUGCAGAUAAUUGAAGGGAAAUAACCACAAUAAUGAAAUCACUGCUGGAUCAAGAUCUGAUAGGUGACAAAUCAAUUUAUUUAUGAUACUUUCUUUGUCAUACUGAACCAUUUUAUUGCUCAGUGGAAACCUC
ensembl:lncRNA